UUGACAGCCGGGGAGAUGAAUGCCUUCUGUUUAUCCACAGAACAGAUAUGAAGCAGGCUGCACCAGAACAUCCUGUCCCAGCACCAAUUUGCAUCACUCCUAACUUACAAGAUCCCACCUAUAUGGGUCAGAGUGGAGUUUAGAUUCCAUGGCCCAUUCUUUCCUUGGCCUGU
rnacentral:sRNA from 1 species